UUUUGCGUCCUGCCUGUACAUUCCGAAGUUCUGUGAAAAGAGGCACUAGCGCUCAGCCACGCAAGGCAGGAAAACAGAGGAAGUUUUCGCAUUCUGACUGCAGCCUGAGUUCCCCGGAGCAAGGCUGCUUCUCUCCACCCACUCCUCACCAAGAACUCCUGAACUUGAGAGUGGACGACUUCAAAGCUAGCUCCCACAGACUCACCUGGAAAAGAGUUCAGCUGCGCGUUCAUUGAACUGAGAGGCCAGAUCACCUAUGUGAGGCGGUGGGAACCAUAUGGAGAUUUAUAUUAGAACUUCAGCAAAGUGCACAGCUGCAGCCGGCAGAAGCCAGCUCUCGGGCUGACAGGCAAAUGAACCAGAUCGUGGACGGGGCCUCUGGGUGGCAGCUCCGGCCUUUUGGUUGUUGGACAACUAUAGUCAGAACUGAAAUGGAACAGGGGCAGGAGAAAUAACACACUUUUACUCCACGCAACUGUUGCUUUCACAUGAUCUUCAGGAAUGUAACUGGGAUAAUUGUCCAAAUCGAAUCCCAUGCCCUGUCAUGGUGAGUAGAACCAUCUAAGAUGCUAUUUUUUUCGUGUUUAUCUGUAAUUUUUUUUCAUUGGUAAUCUCAGUUUUCUGGUGAUUGGUAUAGGAAAUUCA
ensembl:processed_transcript